UGGCAAUUAUGCUAAAUUUAAGGCUUGUUUCUCGAAACGUUCGCAGUUGCUGCCUAAGAGCUUGUGCCUCGAGAGCUGAUUCCUUCCUUGGAUGUCUGAGCCU
rnacentral:snoRNA from 1 species